GUGGGGAAUAUUGGGCAAUGGGGGAAACCCUGACCCAGCAACGCCGCGUGAAGGAAGAAGGUUUUCGGAUCGUAAACUUCUAUCCUUGGUGAAGAUAAUGACGGUAGCCAAGAAGGAAGCCCCGGCUAACUACGUGCCAGCAGCCGCGGUAAUACGUAGGGGGCAAGCGUUGUCCGGAAUGAUUGGGCGUAAAGGGCGCGUAGGCGGCCUGGUAAGUCUGGAGUGAAAGUCCUGCUUUUAAGGUGGGAAUUGCUUUGGAUACUGUCGGGCUUGAGUGCAGGAGAGGUAAGCGGAAUUCCCGGUGUAGCGGUGAAAUGCGUAGAGAUCGGGAGGAACACCAGUGGCGAAGGCGGCUUACUGGCUCGAUACUGACGCUGAGGUGCGAAAGCGUGGGGAGCAAACAGGAUUAGAAACCCGGGUAGUCC
rnacentral:rRNA from 1 species